GACGAACGCUGGCGGCGUGCCUAAUACAUGCAAGUCGAACGAAGCUGUUUUAACUGGUGCUUGCACCGACUUAAACAACUGAGUGGCGAACGGGUGAGUAACACGUGGGUAACCUGCCCCAAAGCGGGGGAUAACAUUUGGAAACAGAUGCUAAUACCGCAUAACCACAGAAACCACAUGGUUUCUGUGUCAAAGAUGGUUUCGGCUAUCACUUUGGGAUGGACCCGCGGCGUAUUAGCUAGUUGGUAAGGUAAUGGCUUACCAAGGCAAGGAAACGUAGCCGAACUGAGAGGUUGAUCCGCCACAUUGGGACUGAGACACGGCCCAAACUCCUACGGGAGGCAGCAGUAGGGAAUCUUCCACAAUGGACGAAAGUCUGAUGGAGCAACGCCGCGUGAGUGAAGAAGGUUUUCGGAUCGUAAAACUCUGUUGUCAGAGAAGAACGUGUGCGAGAGUAACUGCUCGUGCAGUGACGGUAUCUGGCCAGAAAGCCACGGCUAACUACGUGCCAGCGGCAGCCGCAG
rnacentral:rRNA from 1 species